rnacentral:rRNA from 1 species
UAGGGAAUCUUCGGCAAUGGGGGGAACCCUGACCGAGCAACGCCGCGUGAGUGAAGAAGGUUUUCGGAUCGUAAAGCUCUGUUGUUAAGGAAGAACGAGUGUGAGAAUGGAAAGUUCAUACUGUGACGGUACUUAACCAGAAAGGGACGGCUAACUACGUGCCAGCAGCCGCGGUAAUACGUAGGUCCCGAGCGUUGUCCGGAUUUAUUGGGCGUAAAGCGAGCGCAGGCGGUUAGAUAGGCCUGAAGUUAAAGGCAGUGGCUCAACCAUUGUAGGCUUUGGAAACUGUUUAACUUGAGUGCAGAAGGGGAGAGUGGAAUUCCAUGUGUAGCGGUGAAAUGCGUAGAUAUAUGGAGGAACACCGGUGGCGAAAGCGGCUCUCUGGUCUGUAACUGACGCUGAGGCUCGAAAGCGUGGGGAGCGAACAGGAUUAGAUACCCUGGUAGUCCACGCCGUAAACGAUGAGUGCUAGGUGUUAGGUCCUUUCCGGGACUUAGUGCCGCAGCUAACGCAUUAAGCACUCCGCCUGGGGAGUACGACCGCAAGGUUG